AGCGAACGCUGGCGGCAGGCCUAACACAUGCAAGUCGAACGAAGUCUUCGGACUUAGUGGCGGACGGGUGAGUAACACGUGGGAACGUACCUUUUGGUUCGGAACAACUCAGGGAAACUUGAGCUAAUACCGGAUGAGCCCUUAGGGGGAAAGAUUUAUCGCCGAAAGAGCGGCCCGCGUUAGAUUAGCUAGUUGGGGAGGUAAAGGCUCACCAAGGCUACGAUCUAUAGCUGGUCUGAGAGGAUGAUCAGCCACACUGGGACUGAGACACGGCCCAGACUCCUACGGGGGGCAGCAGUGGGGAAUCUUGCGCAAUGGGCGAAAGCCUGACGCAGCCAUGCCGCGUGAAUGAUGAAGGUCUUAGGAUUGUAAAAUUCUUUUACCAGGGACGAUAAUGACGGUACCUGGAGAAAAAGCCCCGGCUAACUUCGUGCCAGCCGCCGCCGUAACUC
rnacentral:rRNA from 1 species